rnacentral:rRNA from 1 species
GACGAACGCUGGCGGCGUGCUUAACACAUGCAAGUCGAACGGAAAGGCCCUGCUUUUGUGGGGUGCUCGAGUGGCGAACGGGUGAUUAACACGUGAGUAACCUGCCCUUGACUUUGGGAUAACUUCAGGAAACUGGGUCUAAUACCGGAUAUGAGCUCCUGCUGCAUGGUGGGGGUUGGAAAGUUUCGGCGGUUGGGGAUGGACUCGCGGCUUAUCAGCUUGUUGGUGGGGUAGUGGCUUACCAAGGCUUUGACGGGUAGCCGGCCUGAGAGGGUGACCGGCCACAUUGGGACUGAGAUACGGCCCAGACUCCUACGGGAGGCAGCAGUGGGGAAUAUUGCACAAUGGGCGGAAGCCUGAUGAAGCAACGCCGCGUGCGGGAUGACGGCCUUCGGGUUGUAAACCGCUUUCGCCUGUGACGAAGCGUGAGUGACGGUAAUGGGUAAAGAAGCACCGGCUAACUACGUG